GGAUGUGAGGGCGAUCUGGCUGCGACAUCUGUCACCCCAUUGAUCGCCAGGGUUGAUUCGGCUGAUCUGGCUGGCUAGGAGGGUGUCCACUUCCUCCCUCACCGCUCCAUGUGCGUCCCUCCCGAAGCUGUGUGCUCGGUCGAAGAGGACGACCUUCCCCGAUAGAGGAGGACCGUUCUUCAGUCAAGGGUAUAUGAGUAGCUGUGCUCCCUUGCUACACUGUAGCAGUGCAGUGCUCCCCACUACAGUGUAGACAUAUUAUACCCCAUACCUCAAUGUCGUA
rnacentral:snRNA from 1 species